AGGACGAACGCUGGCGGCGUGCUUAACACAUGCAAGUCGAGCGAGGCCCCUUCCUUCGGGAGGGGAGCCCUAGCGGCGAACGGGUGAGUAACACGUGGGCAAUCUGCCCCUAGCACUGGGAUAACUCCGGGAAACCGGGGCUAAUACCGGAUAUGACCUCCGAGGGCAUCCUCUGGAGGUGGAAAGGAUUCUGGCUAGGGAUGAGCCCGCGGCCUAUCAGCUAGUUGGUGGGGUAAUGGGCCCACCAAGGCGACGACGGGUA
rnacentral:rRNA from 1 species